rnacentral:rRNA from 1 species
ACGGGGUCCAUCCUUCGGGAGAAGACCUAGUUGGCGAACGGGUGAGUAACACGUGAGCAACCUGCCCCGAAGACUGGGAUAACAGCGGGAAACCGCUGCUAAUACCGGAUACCCCCAUAGGGUCACAUGGCCCGAUGACGAAAUGAGUUUCUCUUCGGGAGGGGCUCGCGGCCUAUCAGCUUGUUGGUGGGGUAACGGCCUACCAAGGCGACAACAGGUAGCUGGUCUGAGAGGACGAUCAGCCACACUGGGACUGAGACACGGCCCACACUCCUACGGGAGGCAGCAGUGGGGAAUAUUGCGCAAUGGGCGAAAGCCUGACGCACCAACGCCGCGUGAGGGAUGAAUGCCUUCUGGUUGUAAACCUCUUUCGAGCAGGGACGAUAAUGACGGUACCUGCAGAAGAAGCUCCGGCCAACUACGUGCCAGCAGCCGCGGUAAUACGUAGGGAGCGAGCGUUGUCCGGAUUCAUUGGGCGUAAAGAGCUCGUAGGCGGCUUGAUAAGUCGGAUGUGAAACCUCCAGGCUCAACCUGGAAUCGCCAUCCGAUACUGUCAUGGCUAGAGUCCGGUAGGGGCCCACGGAACUCCUGGUGUAGCGGUGAAAUGCGCAGAUAUCAGGAAGAACACCGGUGGCGAAGGCGGUGGGCUGGGCCGGCACUGACGCUGAGGAGCGAAAGCGUGGGGAGCGAACAGGAUUAGAUACCCUGGUAGUCCACGCCGUAAACGUUUGGGCACUAGGUGUGGGGGCCUUAUCAACGGGUUCCGUGCCGUACCUAACGCAUUAAGGUGCCCCGCCUGGGGAGUACGGCCGCAAGGCUAAAACUCAAAGGAAUUGACGGGGGGCCCGCACAA